AGAUACCCCUGUAGUCCUAGCGUAAAUGAUGCGAGUUAAGUNUGGGGGCAUCUACGAGAUGGCCCUGUGCUGUAGGGUAGCCGUUAAACUCGCUGCCUGGGGAGUACGGUCGCAAGGCUGAAACUUAAAGGAAUUGGCGGGGAGCACCACAAGAGGUGGAGGCUGCGGUUCAAUUGGACUCAACGCCGGAAAAACUCAUCGGGAGCGACAGCAGUAUGAUUGCCAGGUUGAUGACCUUGCUUGACAAGCUG
rnacentral:rRNA from 1 species